UGUCAUGGCAACAGCUGCCUUUGCUAACUGAUUUUCCCCAGACAACCAUGAUACCAUUACAAAGAAGGGUCCGAGGAGGAGCUGCAGUGAGAGCAGUCUGGGGUUGGAUAAGUUCCUGCUUCACUCAUUUGGGUUUGUAUUGGGGUUUGGGUCUGAAAUGUGGAUUCAAAAGAGCAUCCCUCCAAAAAGAAGGGUAAGAGAGCUGCGUCACCACCAUCUUCUGUUUCCAGUUGCCUUAUAAUAGCAGGUAUUGACUGAUCUUAAAACCAUACCUAUCUCCACAUCAGGCAGUCAUCUUCAGGAAAAGAAUAUAUUCCCCUGUUGUGACGAGACAAUGAAUGGUUUCAAGAAUUCAAUCACUACCGUUUUCACAGCCUGCCUAAACGAGAUCCGCCUUCUUCUUCAGUAUAGCAUCCAGCUGCUGCAUUGUAAGCUGUGUUGGCAACAUUUAUGAUA